GGGUUGUGAGGUUAAGCGACUAAGCGUACACGGUGGAUGCCCUGGCAGUCAGAGGCGAUGAAGGGCGUGCUAAUCUGCGAUAAGCGCCGGUAAGGUGAUAUGAACCGUUAUAACCGGCGAUACCCGAAUGGGGAAACCCAGUGUGACUCGUCACACUAUCAUUAACUGAAUCCAUAGGUUAAUGAGGCGAACCGGGGGAACUGAAACAUCUAAGUACCCCGAGGAAAAGAAAUCAACCGAGAUUCCCCCAGUAGCGGCGAGCGAACGGGGAGGAGCCCAGAGCCUGAAUCAGCAUGUGUGUUAGUGGAAGCGUCUGGAAAGGCGCGCGAUACAGGGUGACAGCCCCGUACACAAAAGCGCAUGUGCUGUGAGCUCGAUGAGUAGGGCGGGACACGUGGUAUCCUGUCUGAAUAUGGGGGGACCAUCCUCCAAGGCUAAAUACUCCUGACUGACCGAUAGUGAACCAGUACCGUGAGGGAAAGGCGAAAAGAACCCCGGCGAGGGGAGUGAAAAAGAACCUGAAACCGUGUACGUACAAGCAGUGGGAGCACCCUUUGGGUGUGACUGCGUACCUUUUGUAUAAUGGGUCAGCGACUUAUAUUCUGUAGCAAGGUUAACCGAAUAGGGGAGCCGGAGGGAAACCGAGUCUUAACCGGGCGUUAAGUUGCAGGGUAUAGACCCGAAACCCGGUGAUCUAGCCAUGGGCAGGUUGAAGGUUGGGUAACACUAACUGGAGGACCGAACCGACUAAUGUUGAAAAAUUAGCGGAUGACCUGUGGCUGGGGGUGAAAGGCCAAUCAAACCGGGAGAUAGCUGGUUCUCCCCGAAAGCUAUUUAGGUAGCGCCUCGUGAAUUCAUCUCCGGGGGUAGAGCACUGUUUCGGCUAGGGGGCCAUCCCGGCUUACCAACCCGAUGCAAACUGCGAAUACCGGAGAAUGUUAUCACGGGAGACACACGGCGGGUGCUAACGUCCGUCGUGAAGAGGGAAACAACCCAGACCGCCAGCUAAGGUCCCAAAGUCAUGGUUAAGUGGGAAACGAUGUGGGAAGGCCCAGACAGCCAGGAUGUUGGCUUAGAAGCAGCCAUCAUUUAAAGAAAGCGUAAUAGCUCACUGGUCGAGUCGGCCUGCGCGGAAGAUGUAACGGGGCUAAACCAUGCACCGAAGCUGCGGCAGCGACACUGUGUGUUGUUGGGUAGGGGAGCGUUCUGUAAGCCUGUGAAGGUGUGUCGUGAGGCAUGCUGGAGGUAUCAGAAGUGCGAAUGCUGACAUAAGUAACGAUAAAGCGGGUGAAAAGCCCGCUCGCCGGAAGACCAAGGGUUCCUGUCCAACGUUAAUCGGGGCAGGGUGAGUCGACCCCUAAGGCGAGGCCGAAAGGCGUAGUCGAUGGGAAACGGGUUAAUAUUCCCGUACUUGGUGUUACUGCGAAGGGGGGACGGAGAAGGCUAUGUUGGCCGGGCGACGGUU
rnacentral:rRNA from 2 species